rnacentral:rRNA from 1 species
GGGGGGGGGGGGGGGGGGGCGGGGGGGGGGGGGGGGGGGGGGGGGGACGGGGGGCGUGCGGCUGUGGCGGGGGCGGCGGACGGGGGAGGAACACGGGGGUAACCGACCGAUGAGACGGGGGGAACUGCGGGAAACCGGAGCGAAUACCGGAUAAUAUAUCGAACCGCAUGGGUCAAGAGUGAAAGGCGGGUGUGCGGGCACGUAUAGAUGGAUCCGCGCCGCAUUAGCUAGUUGGUAAGGUAACGGCUUACCAAGGCAACGAUGCGUAGCCGACCUGAGAGGGUGAUCGGCCACACUGGAACUGAGACACGGUCCAGACUCCUGCGGGAGGCAGCAGUAGGGAAUCUUCCGCAAUGGGCGAGAGCCUGACGGAGCAACGCCGCGUGAGUGAUGAAGGUCUUCGGAUCGUAAAACUCUGUUAUUAGGGAAGAACAAAUGUGUAAGUAACUAUGCACGUCUUGACGGUACCUAAUCAGAAAGCCACGGCUAACUACGUG